rnacentral:rRNA from 1 species
UACGGGGGGUGCGAGCGUUGUCCGGAAUCACUGGGCGUUAAGGGCGCGUAGGUGGUUUGAUAAGGGUGUGGUGAAAGUCCGGAGCUCAACUCCGGAUCUGCCGUGCCGACUGUCAAACUCGAGGGCUGUAGAGGCAGACGGAAUUCCGGGUGUAGCGGUGGAAUGCGUAGAGAUCCGGAGGAAGACCGGUGGCGAAGGCGGUCUGCUGGGCAGUUUCUGACACUGAGGCGCGACAGCGUGGGGAGCAAACAGG